UUUUCCUGUCUCCCUGCAGCAGCAGUAAUCUAGCUGAUUAAUUCCACCUCUGCUGCUCCCUAUUUAAGCACCUGGCUCCUGCUGCUCAGUCGUCUGCUGCCCUGUCACAGUCCUUCGAGUGUUUGAACCUGUCUGCCUGCCUCUUUAUCAUUGAUCUCUGCCUGCCUGACCACGGAACCUGUCUGCCUGCCUGUUGCCCGACCUCGGUCUGUCUGACCAUGGAACCCGUCUAUUCCCUCAGUUCCAGCCUGAAUCUGAGUACUCCCCUUCAUCGGCAUCCCUCAACGCUGAACACUGCUGCUGUUUUUAGAAGGCCACGUCACCCGGAAGGAACUGACUCCAGCUGGUCCAGAUCGCUUUAACAAGUCUUUAAAUAAACUCUUUAAAACUUU